rnacentral:rRNA from 1 species
UACGGGGGGGGGCAAGCGUUGUUCGGAAUUACUGGGCGUAAAGGGCUCGUAGGUGGCCAACUAAGUCGGACGUGAAAUCCCCAGCUCAACUUGGAACUGGCGUCUGAUACUGGUUGGCUUGAAUCCGGGAGAGGGAUGUGGAAGUUCCAGGUGUGAGCGGUGAAAUGCGUAGAUAUCUGGAGGAACACCGGUGGCGAAGGCGAGGUCUCGUGGGCCGAGUACUGACGCUGAGGAGCGAAAGCGUGGGGAGCCGAACGAGGA